rnacentral:rRNA from 1 species
UACGAAGGGGGCUAGCGUUACUCGGAAUCACUGGGCGUAAAGCGCACGUAGGCGGCUUUCUAAGUCAGGGGUGAAAUCCUGGAGCUCAACUCCAGAACUGCCUUUGAUACUGGAGAGCUUGAGUCCGGGAGAGGUGAGUGGAACUCCGAGUGUAGAGGUGAAAUUCGUAGAUAUUCGGAAGAACACCAGUGGCGAAGGCGGCUCACUGGCCCGGUACUGACGCUGAGGUGCGAAAGCGUGGGGAGCAAACAGG